UACAGAGGUCCCAAGCGUUGUUCGGAUUCACUGGGCGUAAAGGGUGCGUAGGUGGCCAGGUAAGUUUGGUGUGAAAUCUCCGGGCUUAACCCGGAAAUGGCAUUGAAUACUAUCUGGCUCGAGGUUUGUAGGGGGGACUGGAAUUCUCGGUGUAGUGGUGGAAUGCGUAGAGAUCGGGAGGAACACCUGUGGCGAAGGCGGUGGCCUGGACCGGUGCUGACGCUGAGGCGCGAAGGCGUGGGGAGCGAUCCGG
rnacentral:rRNA from 1 species